rnacentral:rRNA from 1 species
CCUACGGGAGGCAGCAGUGGGGAAUUUUGGACAAUGGGCGAAAGCCUGAUCCAGCAAUGCCGCGUGUGGGAAGAAGGCCUUCGGGUUGUAAACCACUUUUGUACGGAACGAAAAGGUCUGCUUUAAUAAAGCGGGCUCAUGACGGUACCGUAAGAAUAAGCACCGGCUAACUACGUGCCAGCAGCCGCGGUAAUACGUAGGGUGCGAGCGUUAAUCGGAAUUACUGGGCGUAAAGCGUGCGCAGGCGGUUAUAUAAGACAGUUGUGAAAUCCCCGGGCUCAACCUGGGAAUUGCAUCUGUGACUGUAUAGCUAGAGUACGGUAGAGGGGGAUGGAAUUCCGCGUGUAGCAGUGAAAUGCGUAGAUAUGCGGAGGAACACCGAUGGCGAAGGCAAUCCCCUGGACCUGUACUGACGCUCAUGCACGAAAGCGUGGGGAGCAAACAGGAUUAGAUACCCUGGUAGUCCACGCCCUAAACGAUGUCAACUGGUUGUUGGGUUGCAUUAGUACUCAGUAACGAAGCUAACGCGUGAAGUUGACCGCCUGGGGAGUACGGCCGCAAGGUUGAAACUUAAAGGAAUUGACGGCGAGACGNGCGAGGACGACGACGAGGGAGGUAGG